rnacentral:rRNA from 1 species
UGGGGAAUUUUGGACAAUGGGCGAAAGCCUGAUCCAGCAAUGCCGCGUGUGUGAAGAAGGCCUUCGGGUUGUAAAGCACUUUUGUCCGGAAAGAAAUCCUUGGCUCUAAUACAGUCGGGGGAUGACGGUACCGGAAGAAUAAGCACCGGCUAACUACGUGCCAGCAGCCGCGGUAAUACGUAGGGGUGCAAGCGUUAAUCGGAAUUACUGGGCGUAAAGCGUGCGCAGGCGGUUUGCUAAGACCGAUGUGAAAUCCCCGGGCUCAACCUGGGAACUGCAUUGGUGACUGGCAGGCUAGAGUAUGGCAGAGGGGGGUAGAAUUCCACGUGUAGCAGUGAAAUGCGUAGAGAUGUGGAGGAAUACCGAUGGCGAAGGCAGCCCCCUGGGCCAAUACUGACGCUCAUGCACGAAAGCGUGGGGAGCAAACAGGAUUAGAUACCCUGGUAGUCCACGCCCUAAACGAUGUCAACUAGUUGUUGGGGGAUUCAUUUCCUUAGUAACGUAGCUAACGCGUGAAGUUGACCGCCUGGGGAGUACGGUCGCAAGAUUAAAACUCAAAGGAAUUGACGGGGU